rnacentral:lncRNA from 13 species
AAUAAUCACCUGUUCAGAGAGACUAAAUAGGUGGGUCAGCGUCUGCUUGAAGCCCUCAGCUCAGAAGUCUGUUAGCCUCUGAUCCCACUUUGCACCAUAUCUUUGUGUCCGUUUCUUAAUUCCUUCAGUGCCACUGAGUUGGGGUCUCUAACACGGAGCUGAUCAGGAAGGGAGGAAGAUUUCUACAACUAGGAGUGAACAUCUUCGAGGGCCAAUUAUUUCGUCUGCCACAUCCAGUCAGGAUGUGUUUCUGCAAGCUGCAUUCAUCUGCAACAGUAGAACCUGCAAAGGUAGGGGUGUAUAAAAUGAUUUACAUUCAGAUUCCUGCUGGGUAGGUGUGUGGCAAGCAGAGUGACUCGAGAGAAAACAGGUAUGUUCAGCAUUUUCUGGGAAAGCUUUAUUAUUGAAGGGGCAAUUUUAAAAUAUGAAGGCACAGGGAAAAAAACCCUCAAAGUAUAAUGCUGUAACUGGUG